rfam:Stegodyphus mimosarum contig101638, whole genome shotgun sequence.
GCCUUCGUGGUGUUAUGGUCAGCACGCUCGACGCGUAACUGAGAGGUCCGUGGUUCGAUUCCCGGCAAAGGCG